CAAUGAUGAUGUCACUGAUCCUACUGCUGGCCACCCUGGGGCUCCUUGUUCAGGAUUCAUCAGGAGAAAUCAUCCUGACUCAGUCUCCUGGAGCUCAGUCUGUUGUUCCAGGACAGACUGUCUCUCUCAGAUGUAAAGCCAGUUCAAGUGUUAGCAAUGAGGUAGACUGGUACCUUCAGAAACCUGGAGAAGCUCCUAAACUCUUGAUUUAUCAUGCUACAAACCGUCAGUCUGGAGUUUCAGAUCGUUUCAGUGGGAGUCAGUCUGGAACUGACUUCACUUUGACCAUCAGAGGAGUCCAGACUGAAGAUGCAGGAGUUUAUUACUGUCAGCAGGAUUACAGCUUCCCGUUCACGUUCGGUGGAGGAACCAAACUGGAUGUUGGAAGUGAUGUCCGUCCCACCCUGACGGUGCUGCCCCCCUCCAGUGAGGAGCUGCAGCAGGGGAAGGCCACGCUCAUGUGCCUGGCCAACAAGGGAUUCCCCUCAGACUGGAGUCUGGCCUGGAAGGUGGACGGCAGCAGCAGCAGCAGCAGCAGCUGGGAGGAGAGCAGGAGCCCCGGGGUGCUGGAGAAGGACGGCCGCUACAGCUGGAGCAGCACCCUGAGGCUCCCUGCAGACCAGUGGAGGAAGGUGGGCUCUGUGACCUGUGAGGCCACCCAGGGCUCCCAGGCUCUGGUCUCAGAGACACUGAGGAGAGACCAGUGUUCCCAGUCCUGACCUGACUCACUGGGACUCUGCUACUGGUUUUACUCUGCUCUCUGAACUCUGUAACUCUCUCUGUGUCUGUGUCUCUUUCUUUCCUUCAGUCAUUCUCUAAUCACAUGUUUCAUGGUUAAAGUUUGUUUACUGGAUUUAAUUUGGAUUAUUUCAACACAAUAAAGACCAGUUCAUUCAAAUUUGUUGUUUUCAUUUCUGUUAUGGUGACUGUACUCUGUUACUCUGUCAUCAGAUCAUAUUAACAAUAUUCAACUUUAAGUAGUGAAGCUUCAUUGAUGUAAUAAUGCUCAUGCUGUUAACACUGUAAGAAAAUAAAAAAAGUUAUUUCAAAUU